rnacentral:rRNA from 1 species
GAUCCUGGCUCAGGAUGAACGCUAGCUACAGGCUUAACACAUGCAAGUCGGAGGGGCAGCAUGGUCUUAGCUUGCUAAGGCCGAUGGCGACCGGCGCACGGUGAGUAACACGUAUCCAACCUGCCCGUCUACUCGUUGGACAGCCUUCUGAAAGGAAGAUUAAUACAAGAUGGCAUCAUGAGUCCACAUGUUUCACAUGAUUAAAGGGUAUUCCGGUAGACGAUGGGGUA